AUGAACGCUGGCGGCGUGCCUAAUACAUGCAAGUCGAACGCACAGCGAAAGGUGCUUGCACCUUUCAAGUGAGUGGCGAACGGGUGAGUAACACGUGGACAACCUGCCUCAAGGCUGGGGAUAACAUUUGGAAACAGAUGCUAAUACCGAAUAAAACUUAGUGUCGCAUGACACAAAGUUAAAAGGCGCUUCGGCGUCACCUAGAGAUGGAUCCGCGGUGCAUUAGUUAGUUGGUGGGGUAAAGGCCUACCAAGACAAUGAUGCAUAGCCGAGUUGAGAGACUGCUCGCCCCCAUUGGGCCUGAGCCCCGGCCCCACCCCCUAGGGGGGGCUGCAGUGGGGAUUCUUCCACAAGGGGCGAAAGCCUGAUGGAGCAACGCCGCGUGUGUGAUGAAGGUUUUCGGGUCGUAAAGCCCUGCUUUAUGGGAAAAACAUCUAAAAUGGGAAAUUAUUUUGGUUUGCCGGUACCAUCCCAAAAAGGGCCGGCAAAAUCCGU
rnacentral:rRNA from 1 species